rnacentral:rRNA from 1 species
CCUACGGGAGGCAGCAGUGAGGAAUAUUGGUCAAUGGACGAGAGUCUGAACCAGCCAAGUAGCGUGAAGGAUGACUGCCCUAUGGGUUGUAAACUUCUUUUAUAUGGGAAUAAAAUGUUCCACGUGUGGGAUUUUGUAUGUACCAUAUGAAUAAGGAUCGGCUAACUCCGUGCCAGCAGCCGCGGUAAUACGGAGGAUCCGAGCGUUAUCCGGAUUUAUUGGGUUUAAAGGGAGCGUAGGUGGAUUGUUAAGUCAGGUGGGAAAGUUUGCGGCCCAAACGUCAAAUCGCAGUUGAAACUGGCAGUCUUGAGUACAGUAGAGGUAGGCGGAAUUCGUGGUGUAGCGGUGAAAUGCUUAGAUAUCACGAAGAACUCCGAUUGCGAAGGCAGCUCACUGGACUGCAACUGACGCUGAGGCUCGAAAGUGUGGGUAUCAAACAGGAUUAGAUACCCCUGUAGUC